rnacentral:lncRNA from 1 species
UGUCAUUUGCUCAGGGGAAUAAAAUGCACAGCAGACAAGAGGAUGUGAGGAGCCAAGGCAGCUGCUGCUGGGCAGUAAGCAUCUAAGCAAUGCUCCUGCAAGUGUCUGAGCUCCAUGCAUAGCAGCACUACAUCUGGAAAUACUACAGUUUUUGCUCUUUGAAUUCAUCAUUGCUUCAUAAAGCAGCAGCUGCACCAGAUGCAGUAAGGAUACUGAAAAUGUACAUUACUCUGGGAUAUAUUAUUUGGACUUAGCAUAAAUUUUGCACUGUCUGUUUGUCAUUCUUCCUCAUGCCUGCUGUCGGAAAUGCGUCAGGAGACAAAAGCAAGCUUAAUUGACAGCUCUGGGGAGGCUGAAGACAAUUUCCACUGUGCAUAAAAUAGCCUGAGUCAGGAGCAUCAGAUCAGAGAUCACCUUUUUGCACCCAGCUGCUGAAGCUGUCAUCGUACUCUGGGUACAUUUAUUUAACCAAAGUAACAGGGCAGUGAUCGCUGCAGAGAACUGGAACUUCCUUUCUUCAUUCAAAGAACUAAAGUUGCUAUUGUUGUAAAAAUAUCGAACUAAUUCUUUUCCACCAAAGG